rnacentral:tRNA from 1 species
GGAGGGGUGGCAGAGCGGUUGAAUGCACCGGUCUUGAAAACCGGCAGGUCCUCACGGGCCUCGUGAGUUCGAAUCUCACCCCCUCCGCCA